rnacentral:rRNA from 1 species
UUGAAAGGGAAACGAUUGAAGUCAGUCGUACCGACGGACAAUCAGCCUUUUGAGUGCGAUUCUGUGGGGCAUGAGGAGGAAACCCUCAUGUUUUGCAUAUUUGUGCUCUUUGGGUGUAUUUGUUCGUAUGGUGGGUUAACAUCAAUUUUGGUCGUCAUAAAAUGACGGGAGGAAUGUAGCUUUGGUCUCGUAUUGAAGUGUUAUAGCCUCUGGUAGAUGUGACGACCGGGAUUGAGGAUUGCAACGGAUACCCCUCGGGGCUACUCGCCUGAUCUCUGAUCGUUACUCUGGUGCCGAAAGCUUGCUUAUGUCAUCAAAGUUGAUGGUCAAAAGGUUAGAACGGGUUAAAUUCGUUAAGGAUGUUGACGUAAAUCACUAGCCCCCCCUAAAUAAAUG